UUCAUAUUGCUUUUGGUGCAAAAAAAUGUUGGGAUCCAAUCAAAAUGCUGCUUAGGAAUUGUUGUAUCUUAUAGAGACUAUGUUUCUGCUACAGGUGAAUUUCAUCCCCAAUCCUGCAGGUGAAUUUAAUCCCAAAUCAAUUCCCUACUCCCUGUAACCAACUGCACAGAAUUCAAAUCAAUAUAAAAGUCUUCUUGUAGAUUUAAUCUUGUUCUAUUUGAGCCAUUAUUUUUAGGUGCUGUGUAGUGAUCAGUGGUGAAUACCUGGGAAUUAAUCUCUUAUGGAUGAGUAGUCUGAGCACCAAUCACCUUUGCUUCAGCAUGUAAAGGGAGAAGCAUGGCUCAAGUGCUUUGUUUUCACCAUUAAACCUUCCCCAGUUCAAAGCCGCUUAGAAGAGCAAUUGGUUUGCUCGGGAUCAGCAGGACUGUCCUGACAGAUGAGACUUCAGCCUGCACAGAACAACUACUACACAUACUGAAGCCCUGUUUCCUGGGAAGUGGCUGGAUAUUGCCUGCUUGUGGGAAGGAGAGAAUAAACCUUUUGUUUUCCUUUGCUUCUAUGUGUGGCCAUUGCUUUUGCUUUUAUUAAACUGGCUUUAUCC